rnacentral:pre_miRNA from 1 species
GGAGGGAGCGCUGGAUCUUGGGCUGUGUUCCCCAGCGCCCUGGGCUCCAGGGCCUGCUCUGCUGCAAUUGCGCUCCCGGAGCCCCGCCAGGUGCACUCUCC